rnacentral:tRNA from 1 species
GCGGAUGUGGCCAAGUGGAUCAAGGUAGUGGAUUGUGAAUCCACCAUGCGCGGGUUCAAUUCCCAUCGGUCGCC